rnacentral:rRNA from 1 species
UACGUAGGUGGCAAGCGUUGUCCGGAUUUACUGGGCGUAAAGAGCGCGCAGGCGGUCGUUCAAGUCGCGUGUGAAAGCCCCCGGCUCAACUGGGGAGGGUCACGCGAUACUGAUCGACUCGAAGGCAGGAGAGGGAAGUGGAAUUCCCGGUGUAGUGGUGAAAUGCGUAGAUAUCAGGAGGAACACCGGUGGCGAAGGCGGUUCUCUGGGCCUGUACUGACGCUGAGGAGCGAAAGCGUGGGGAGCAAACAGG